rnacentral:misc_RNA from 1 species
UCCGGUGUUGGCACCGGCUGUCGGUCCUGACACGAGUAACAGGACCCGGGGGUUGCGCUCGUUGCGGGACUUAACCCAACAUCUCACGACACGAGCUGACGACAGCCAUGCACCACCUGUAUACCGACCUUGCGGGGGCUGCAUCUCUGCAGCUUUCCGGUAUAUGUCAAACCCAGGUAAGGUUCUUCGCGUUGCAUCGAAUUAAAGAACAUGCUCCGCUGCUUGUGCGGGUCCCCGUCAAUUCCUUUGAGUUUUAGCCUUGCGGCCGUACUCCCCAGGCGGGGUGCUUAAUGCGUUAGCUUCGGCACGGACGGAGUCGACACCGCCCACACCUAGCACCCAUCGUUUACGGCGUGGACUAC